rnacentral:rRNA from 1 species
UGGCGAACGGGUGAGCAACACGUGGGUAAUCUGCCCUGCACUCUGGGAUAAGCCUGGGAAACUGGGUCUAAUACUGGAUAUGACCUUUCUCCUUAUGGGGUUUGGUGGAAAGUUUUUCGGUGUAGGAUGAGCCCGCGGCCUAUCAGCUUGCUGGUGGGGUGAUGGCCCACCAAGGCGACGACGGGUAGCCGGCCUGAGAGGGUGAUCGGCCACAUUGGGACUGAGAUACGGCCCAG